AUUAGUGGGGGAUAACUCUGGUGCGCCAGAACUAAUACCGCAUUUGUUGCUUCGGCAAUGAAAGGGAAUCGCAAGAUUUUCGCUAAUUGAUAGGGAUAAGUCGUAUUAGUUUGUUGGUGGGGUAAUGGCCUACCAAGACGAUGAUGCGUAGCCGGGCUGAGAGGCUGAUCGGCCACAAGGGAACUGAGACACGGUCCCUACUCCUACGGGAGGCAGCAGUGAGGAAUUUUCGGCAAUGGGGGAAACCCUGACCGAGCAAUACUACGUGAAGGAGGAAGGUCUACGGAUUGUAAACUUCUGUUAGUGCGGAAGAAGGGCUGAAUGCAAGUUCAGCCUUGACGGUACGCACAGAGAAAGCCACGACUAACUACGUGCCAGCAGUCGCGGUAAGACGUAGGUGGCGAACGUUAUCCGGAAUUAUUGGGCGUAAAGGGUGCGUAGGCGGCGGAAUAAGUUAGUGGUGGAAAAUCGGGGCUCAACCUCGUGGAAGUCAUUAAUACUGUUUUGCUAGAGGACAGGAGAGGUUAACGGAAUUCCCUGUGGAGCGGUAAAAUGUGUAGAUAUAGGGAAGAACACCAAUAAGGCGAAGGCAGUUAACUAUUCUGUUCCUGACGUUGAGGCACGAAAGCGUGGGGAGCAAAUAGGAUUAGAUACCCUAGUAGUCCACGCCCUAAACGAUGAGUGCUAGACAUUGGAAACUUGAUUUUCAGUGUCGCUAGAUAACUCGGUAAGCACUCCGCCUGGGUAGUACGCUCGCAAGAGUGAAACUCAAAGGAAUUGACGGGGACUCGCACAAGCACUGGAGCAUGUGGUUUAAUCCGAUGCAACGCGUAGAACCUUACCAAGGCUUGACAUGUUUGGCAAAACUGUGGAAACACAGCGGAGGUUAUCCAAACACAGGUGCUGCAUGGCCGUCGUCAGUUCGUGCCGUGAGGUGUAUGGUUAAGUCCUAUAACGAACGCAACCCUUGGGCUUAGUUGCCAGCAUUCAGUUGGGGACUCUAGGCCGACUGCCUGAGUAAUCAGGAGGAAGGAAAGGAUCACUCUG
rnacentral:rRNA from 1 species